GCGAAGCCGCGAGGUAGAGCAAAUCUCAAAAAGACAUCUCAGUUCAGAUUGCAGGCUGCAACUCGCCUGCAUGAAGUCGGAAUUGCUAGUAAUCGUAGGUCAGCAUACUACGGUGAAUACGUUCCCGGGCCUUGUACACACCGCCCGUCAAACCAUGAGAGUUGGCAACACCCGAAGUCGGUAGUCUAACCGCAAGGAGGACGCCGCCGAAGGUGGGGUUGAUGAUUAGGGUUAAGUCGUAACAAGGUAGC
rnacentral:rRNA from 1 species